AAGUGCAGAUGCAGUCUUAAAUCACUGACAAAAGCAACCAUGGUUUCUGUUAAAUGUUGUGAUGCAACUCAUUUCCUAAUUGUUAAUCUAAUUGCUAAUCCUAAUUCAAGAGAUUCUAAUGACAGACCAACUGACAUGUCCAGAGGUAAGAAAACACUCAAAUAACAGUGAAAAUUUAACAAAAUUUAUUUGUGUAGUUUGUAUGCGAUCACAGAGUCUGUCAGUAUGUUUACAUGCAUAGUUAAGUCAGGCUAUGGUUAUAGCUCAAAUAGACUCAUUUUAUCUGAACUGUCAUUGUCCCAGUCUGCAAACACACAAUCAAUUUCUCAACAAAAUUUUGUCGGUCUCCACCAUAAAAGGUCACAAUAUGCCCCCUUUCAGCUUGUAACUAUUGGGCCCUCUUAUCGUGACCUUUUUUAAGUCACGUGCCAAAACAAUCAACAAACACAUUAGUAAGAUGCUAGUGGGAGGUAUGGUGUAUUGAAACAGACAAUUUUAUAGCUCUGUGCCUUUUGUAUGUGUGAUACAUAAGCCUUCCUGUUAUGUGUUUUUUUUUUUCGUGUUAUUUUCAUAUGCAAAUAGGUGUGUGCCACAGCCGCACGGUCAUUGGUGGAAUGGCUCUACGUCCUGGACAGUGAUUGGAUGAAACCGACAACCACCUGGUAUAUGAGGAGCCAAGAUGGCGGCCGCCGGUGGGGGGGGCUGCAGGCAUUCCUCAUCCUCCUCAUCCUCCUCCUCUCCCAACCGGCCACACUUUUUGCUGUGCUUAAACCAUUGUGUGUUUUGUAGUAGUAGAUUUUGAGUAGUAAGGGUGGGCUGCCAGUUUUGUUAACCUUGUUUUCUCCUGUUUAUUUAGUUAGGGAGGUAAGUCUUUUGUCAUUUGUUUCCUUUGUUUGGUUAGGUUAGUUACUUACUCUGUAGACAGGAUCAUUUUGUUUGUUAUUUUGGCCUUAGUCCACCCUGAAGCCUAACAACUCAGCCUUAGUUACUUUUCUAUAUCUACAUGUUCAUUUACUUAUUUAUGUAAAUAAAUCAUUUUCUUUAUAUUGAAACAAAA